CAGUCGCCGCGGUAAUACAGAGGGUGCAAGCGUUUAUCGGAAUUACUGGGCGUAAAGCGCGCGUAGGUGGUUUGUUAAGUUGGAUGUGAAAUCCCCGGGCUCAACCUGGGAACUGCAUCCAAAACUGGCAAGCUAGAGUAUGGUAGAGGGUGGUGGAAUUUCCUGUGUAGCGGUGAAAUGCGUAGAUAUAGGAAGGAACACCAGUGGCGAAGGCGACCACCUGGACUGAUACUGACACUGAGGUGCGAAAGCGUGGGGAGCAAACAGGAUUAGAUACCCCAGUAGUCCCUGUCUCUUAUAC
rnacentral:rRNA from 1 species